CCCUUAGAUGUCCUGGGCCGCACGCGCGCUACACUGAGUGUCUGAGAUACGAGUCUGCCUGGUCCGGCAAGGUCUAGGUAAUCGCUAAAAGACACAUCAUGCUUGGGAUAGAUUAUUGCAAAUAUUAAUCUUGAAUGAGGAAUUCCUAGUAAGCGCAAGUCAACAGCUUGCGUUUAUUACGUCCCUGCCCUUUGUACACACCGCCCGUCGCUACUACUGAUUGGAUGUUUAAGCGAGGUUCUCGAACUGCUAGCGACUUAGCUUCGGUGAGGUCGCAGUGUGGGAAGUGAACCUAGCUUUGGUGUCUAGAGGAAGUAAAAGUCGUAACA
rnacentral:rRNA from 1 species